CAAUGACGGGCUGCUGAGGGGUAUUGAAAUGCUGAACAAGGCCCGAGAAGACCACCUUGUCCCGGAGAGGAGCACCUCCAUCCUCGUCAUGUUGACAGAUGGGGAUGCUAAUACUGGUGAGGGAGAGGGAGGCUUGAGCCCAAGAUGAGUGCCUGCCUGCCUGCCUGCCUGCCUGUGUGGCUGGCUCACUACAAGACCCUGGGUGUCUUUUCUUGCGGUUCCCUAGCAUCUUGUGAGCCCCUUAAAGGCAGCUGCAUGCCUAUCCUUGUCAAGGCUCCCUACCAGCUAUGCAUACAAAGAGUUAGCUCUCCCCAGGAGAGCUAGUGGAGGUGGUCCCCAGCAUGAACGGCCCUUUCUACAGGCGAGAGCAGACCUGAAAAGAUCCAGGAAAACGUCCGGAACGCCAUCAGGGGCAAGUUCCCUUUGUAUAACCUGGGUUUUGGCAACAAUCUGAAUUAUAAUUUCCUGGAGUCUCUGGCCCUGGAGAACCACGGGUUUGCCCGGCGUAUUUAUGAAGAUUCUGAUGCCAGCUUACAGCUGCAGGUACACCUUACCUCAGGCGCUGUUCCUCAGGCCGUUACUUCCACCACGGGCCAACUUCAGGCGUCAGGUGGAGCCUCCUCUCUGUUAGAGUGCAUCUCUGGCCGCAUCUCGUUCUAAUCUACAUAGAACAGAGCUGCCUCUUCUGCAGGAG
rnacentral:lncRNA from 1 species